rnacentral:lncRNA from 1 species
UGGUGGCAGUGGGCAGCCACCGGUGGGUUUUAAGCUGGGCGUAACCAGUUAGGAAGCUAGUAGAUCAGGGGAGAAAUGUCAAGGUCCAGAAUAAGGCAGAUCACUGAGGGGUGAGACAGGCCGGGUUGAGGGGUGUUAAGACGAGGGAACCACGGGAGCUGGUUGAGGAGUGGAGGGGCUGACCCAUGUUUCGGGCGUCUCCUGUGCGCCACGAGGUGGGGCUGUCAUGGAAAGCAGACGCCGUCCCUGCUCUCAGGAAGCUUCCUUUCCAGAAGUCGACAAUGUGACGGCAUGAACUCACAGGAUAAAUUAGAUUGUGGUGCCCGAGAGACAUUCAAGUGGAGCUGACUUGGGCUGUCUAGAAGAGAGGCGACGGGUGGCUCCGAAGGAAGAGGCCUGACACCGAGUCCGGAAGAACGUCGCAUCGAGGCAGAGGGCGCAGGACGAGCCAGCGACAAAGGCGGGGGCGGAGCAGCGGAGGGGUAGGCGCGAGGCAACGGCAGCCUUGGCCGCGCGGGCCACGCUCAGAACUUGGCAAGCCCUCUUUCCCAAACACUCGCCCCCAGCCGCCCCGGCCUCCCGGCGAACAACGCCUGUGCCUAAUCGCGCCGGGGACACCUAAUCCCGCCGCGCGCCGCUCCAGCCCGCGCCGCGCUCCCGAGGGCAGGGGCUCCAAGGGCGAGGGCUCCUGAUGGCCGGGGCUCCGAGGGUCUUGGCUCCGAGGGCGGGGGCUCCGAUAGGAGGGGCUCCGAGGGCUGGGGCUCCGAUGCUUGGU